rnacentral:tRNA from 1 species
UCUAGGCGGGAAGGCC